CUCGUAGGCGGUUCAACAAGUCGGUCGUGAAAGCCCGGGGCUCAACCCCGGGAUGCCGGUCGAAACUGUUGUGACUUGAGUUCGGUAGAGGUGAGUGGAAUUCUCGGUGUAGCGGUGGAAUGCGCAGAUAUCGAGAGGAACACCCGUAGCGAAGGCGGCUCACUGGGCCGAUACUGACGCUGAGGAGCGAAAGCGUGGGGAGCAAACA
rnacentral:rRNA from 1 species